rnacentral:rRNA from 1 species
AUUGAACGCUGGCGGCAGGCCUAACACAUGCAAGUCGAGCGGAUGAAGGGAGCUUGCUCCUGGAUUCAGCGGCGGACGGGUGAGUAAUGCCUAGGAAUCUGCCUGGUAGUGGGGGAUAACGUCCGGAAACGGGCGCUAAUACCGCAUACGUCCUGAGGGAGAAAGUGGGGGAUCUUCGGACCUCGCGCUAUCAGAUGAGCCUAGGUCGGAUUAGCUAGUUGGUGGGGUAAAGGCCUACCAAGGCGACGAUCCGUAACUGGUCUGAGAGGAUGAUCAGUCACACUGGAACUGAGACACGGUCCAGACUCCUACGUGAGGCAGCAGUGGGGAAUAUUGGACGAUGGGCGAAAGCCUGAUCCAGCCAUGCCGCGUGUGUGAAGAAGGUCUUCGGAUUGUAAAGCACUUUAAGUUGGGAGGAAGGGCAGUAAGUUAAUACCUUGCUGUUUUGACGUUACCAACAGAAUAAGCACCGGCUAACUUCGUG